GACGAACGCUGGCGGCGUGCCUAAUACAUGCAAGUCGAACGCUUCUUUCCUCCCGAGUGCUUGCACUCAAUUGGAAAGAGGAGUGGCGGACGGGUGAGUAACACGUGGGUAACCUACCCAUCAGAGGGGGAUAACACUUGGAAACAGGUGCUAAUACCGCAUAACAGUUUAUGCCGCAUGGCAUAAGAGUGAAAGGCGCUUUCGGGUGUCGCUGAUGGAUGGACCCGCGGUGCAUUAGCUAGUUGGUGAGGUAACGGCUCACCAAGGCCACGAUGCAUAGCCGACCUGAGAGGGUGAUCGGCCACACUGGGACUGAGACACGGCCCAGACUCCUACGGGAGGCAGCAGUAGGGAAUCUUCGGCAAUGGACGAAAGUCUGACCGAGCAACGCCGCGUGAGUGAAGAAGGUUUUCGGAUCGUAAAACUCUGUUGCUAGAGAAGAACAAGGACGUUAGUAACUGAACGUCCCCUGACGGUAUCUAACCAGAAAGCCACGGCUAACUACGUG
rnacentral:rRNA from 1 species